UGUUAUUUCAAAAGGCAAUCAAUGACUAAGUAAUCAUCUUCAUAUUGCUAUUCUAUUCACUCGAAUUAUUUCAAGCAUUGUUUCAGCAAUAUAAGGGGUCAUCUUAAGAUCCAUGGAUUCUUUAUUUUGCAUAGUGAACUUCUCUUUAAAAGACAACAAUCCUCAGAAAUCAUUCAGAAAUCAAACAAAUAUAUACUUCUCAUAUCCAACACAAGAAAUCAAAUACUUCCCUCUACGUAUGAAUAUUCUGCACUGGCAGAGUUUUAAGGAAUGGGCUCUGACAAAAGCAUCUUUCACCACACAUAGGAUUCCUCCAGCAUGGCGGCAACAAAACGAAAUAAUCAAAACUAAAUUUGCACCAUUUAUUUCCAUAUUUAGAAUGGAGCAGUUGGUUAUAUGCUUAACUGCUCCCAAUGUCGAGGUACAUGGACUUGUGUGUAGGAAUUGGGUGUGUAUAUACGUUGGAUCCUGCUGAUUCCCCAAAAAUAUCUACUAGUGACAGCCUAUGCAAAUGGCAGUGUCAAACGCACAAAAGCUAGAAACAUUUAAUACAACUCGCUCAAGUUACCCACAUUAAUUGGCUUCACUUUCGUAACAUAAGUUCAGCUCAGUUAUCCCACUGCAUUGGAUGACUUCCCACAACUAAAAAAUACUACAAGAACAGGUAUCUAACGUAGAGAUAGAUGCCUCAACUUACCAUAGUCACUGAACCAACAUGCCAAUGUAAAUAUGGAAAGCCAUUAUAUAUAAUGCAAUGCAACCAAAUCCAUUCUUAGCUCCUAAAAGAAAGAUUGGACAAACCAACCAAAAUGAAUGAUUAAGGAGCCUAUUCUUAAUUUUUAUAAGAAGGCAAUAACACAUUAAAUUCAGGCUCCAGCACUAGAAAGAUUGACAUUCUUAUGCACCUCUCAUCAUGUCUUCAAGAAUAUUGCGCAGAAUCUCAUCUUCACACCUUCCAUCUCUUAAAGCACUUUGUUUCCCAUCAAAAGUUCAGGUCAAGCAUGUCAUCAGAACACGAUAAUAUGUACAUCAAAAUCCAAUAAAAACCAAACCUCCAAUAACCCAGUGCCGAGAUAGCCGAUCAAUAAAUAUUGCCAUUAAACUUUCAAAGAGAAAGCAAGCAAAAUCUCCAACAACAGUCUUACUUGUUUCGUUGCACAAAUUGUCAUGUUAUUUUAUCCUUUCGCUCUACUUAUCCCUUGCCUCAAACUCACAUGUAUCUGAGUACUAAUUUUACAUCAUAAAUGAGAAUUAUAUAUGAAAUAGAAGAGCAUUUCGCGAUUAAUCAGAUCAAACUUGUAGUAACAACAAACAUCAUUUCUAUUUAGCCAAUAAUUCCUACUAUGAUAAGGAUUUGCAGAGAUACAGAGAGGGGGGGGCGGCUUAUAUCACCUUUUUCACGGAAGCGGACCACGAGAGAGUAAGCCCCAGGAAGAUGAUGAAGAAGAAGGGGCCCCAGAGAUCCCAAUCCCUCAGCGCCUUCCCCGGAUCCUCGCGAAAGGGGUUGGGGAACACCACGAGCUUGAGAUUGCUCACGAUCCGAGACAGAUCCCGCUUCACCGUGUCCCAUACGGGCUCCGUGAGCGUGUUCGGCGCCGAUCCGAAGCCAUCGGCGCCGAUCCCGCCCUGGAGCCUCCCCCCGGGGGGGACGGCGGCGGCGGCGGAGGCGACGUUGACCCCGAGCGACGGCGGCGGCAGCGGCGGAGCUCCGGCGGUGGCGGGCUUGGCGGGGAGGAAGGGGGGAGGAGCGGGGGAGGAGGAGACGGGGAUGGAGGCGCGGGGAGGGGAGGGGGGCCGCGCGGGGAGGACGGUGGCGGAAGGGGCGGCGUUGAUGAGGCUCUCGAUCUCGUCGAUGUCGGAUUGGGAGGAGGGGUGGAGGGGGAUGGUGUCGCCGUGGGACAUCGUCGUCGGCGGUGGCGGAGCUAGGGUUCCGGCGAGGGAUCUAGGGUUCCGGCGGGGCGGGGGGAAGGAGAUCUGAGCGAGAAGGGAGGUGAGUUCGAAGAGCGUCGGAGUUAGAGAGAGAAAAGAUUCGGUAUUUUUUGCGCCGAGAUGCGUGAAAAUAUUAAAAAGAAAAAUAGGUAAAUUACACUUUUGUCCUCAAACUAUGGUGUCCUCGACACUUCAGUUUUUAAACUUUAAUAAAUUAUAAUAAUUUUUUGCUCAAAUUAUAAAAUAUGUGACACUUUUUUAUUUUAUUAUAAUUAAGUUCUAUAACUUAAUAUUUUUGACUAACUGGUGAUAAAUCACUAAUAUCCAAGUAAUAAAAUUGUAAUAUUUUAAUUAUUAUUGCAUCGAUCAUGUAAAAUAUUAUUAUAAUUUUACGAGAAUUAAAAUAUCACAUAUCUUAUAGUUUGAAUUAGAAAUUAUAACUAAUUAAAGUUUAAGUAUUACAGUGUUACGCAUCUCAUUGUUUAAGGAUCAAAAGUGUAAUUUACUCAAUAAAAAAAAAUAAAAUUUUUUUUAUAAGGAGAAGUAGACUUUCGACAAACUAAAAUUCGAAUCAAAAUUAUUUUUCAUACGUUGUUUGUUAAUAUAGCUGCAGAGCUGAAGUUCUCCUAAAUCUCUUCUUUGUUUGGUAGGAAGCGAAUGGCAUAAAACUUGAAGGUGCGAAAGAUGGAUUAAUUUUUUAAUUUUUCUCACUUUUUUUUGUAAUUAACUUCACCUACAAUAUUCUUAGAGAGUUUGAAGGUGCGAAAGAUGGAUUAAUUUUUUAAUUUUUCUCACUUUUUUUUGUAAUUAACUUCACCUACAAUAUUCUUAGAGAGUUUGAAUUUCAAUCGAAAAAAAAAAAAAGUAAUAGUGAAUCAAACAAUAAAAAUAAACAUUUACUGUCGAAAAACUACUUCGCUCCUCUUCACUUUUCCGGAAAGCAAACACACACAUUCGAUUUGAUGAUUGACAUUCCUUAAAUUUUUAUUGAGAGAAUUAUUUUCUAUCUCAUCAACUCACCAAAAAAAUAAAUAGUCAAAAAUUAACAACCAUAUAAAAACAUAGAAUAGGUUUCUAAAAUUCUAGAUUGAAAUUGUAGAUCUUGUUUUUGAUAGUUAAAAAAAAAAUAUUCUAUCAAAAGUUCAAUCAAGUUUAAUUAUUUUACACUAAAAAAUUAUUGAAUUUUAUAUUCAAGAUUUUUUUUAUUUUUUAAAAUAUAAAUUUAAAUUAAAUGGAAGAAAAUAAAAUUAAAUAAAAUUUGGAGCCCGGUCAAAUUCUCCGACUCUGCUACUAUAUUAAAGUAAGUACAACAAUCAUAUUUUCGCAAACAACUUAAAUCGUCAGGAACGAUAUUUUUAAAAUUUAUAUUCAACAAUCGGGAGUCUCUUUUGUUCCCUCAUUGGGGAAUGGUUGUUUUGCUCUAUCUUAUGAAAUGGAUAACACUUUUCUUAACAGUAGUUUAAUGGAUUUGCAGGGGUAGAUGCAACAGUAGUUUGUGAGAAGCUGGGGUUCAAUUUAGGGCAUGUUUGUUUCAUCGAAAUUGGACUUUAGGUUGAAAUGGACUUUGGAUUGAACUAGAGUUUGGUGAAAACUACUUCUUUCCCGCUAUUUGUUUCGUAGUUAUGAAAGUGAAGUUUCAUCAAUUCUGCUGUUUGUUUGAUAGAAAGUAUAUAAUAUAAAACUAUAAUUUAUAUAUAAAUAAUAAAUAUUUUAAUAAAUAUAUUUUUAUAUAAUUAAAAUUUAAUUUAAAAUAAUUAAAUUAUUUUUUAUACAUAAAUUAUAAUAAUACAAUAAUAAAAUUAUAAAGUAAAAAAAAAUUAAUACUUAAUUAAUCAAUUUUUAUCAUAUUUCAAAACUUACAAACUAAAUAAAGAAAAUAUUAAAACUUAACUAAAUAAUUUUUAUCAUAUUUUAGAUAUAUUAAUUGAAUAAAAAAAUAAUUAGUAACAUAAUUAAAUAUAUUUAAAUAUAACUAGCUUUAUUUAUUAUAUAUAUAUUUUUUUCACCUUUCUUCACCGUAAUUGACUUCGGCCCACAAUGGGAUGAAGUCAAUUACGUCGUUGGAGAUUAACUCGAGUUUCGACCGUAAUUUUUUUACGGCGAACCAAACAACGAAAAUAGUCGUUUAGGACGAAAACGACUUCCUUCCUCUCCACUUCCACUCCACUUCCACCCAAACAAACAUGCCCUUAAAAGUUGAAGGAGUUGGCUCAUUUAUUUUCAAGCUUGAACUUCUUUUCUUGAAAAAUUUUCUCAUAGGUAAAAUAUACUAUAUACGAUCCGAUCCAAGUCACUUUUUCAGAUUAAAAUAAAUAAUCUCGUAGGUGAAAUAUACUAUCACAAAUCAUGGCACCCGAGAUCUUACAAAGUGGUAAAAUCAAUCUAGUAACUCUCAAUUACAAAAAGAUCACAAAACAAUAUCCUUGCAUCGAAUAAGUUAUCAAUGAAUAGUUUGUUCAGACACUUAAAACAAGCCCUUCGUCAUGUUUAGGUACAUGAAUAUUUUAUUCAAUAUAUCCUCUUAAUUUACUCAAAAAAAAUUAUAUAUUUAGAACAACUAAAAGUGUGAUCAAAUAUUUAGAAUGGAAUAUCAUAUUCGGCCUACAAAUCAUUUUUUCUGAAUAAGCUAAAUCACCUCGUAGAUAAAAUAAGCUAUCCUACCAAAGGAGAAAAAAAAUCAAGCUCCCUACUUAUAAUCAUACUAGAAAAUUCUUUUGGUGAAAAAAAAAAUUCUUCGAUAACUUAUUCCGACAUCCAAACAGAGCAGGGAACAUUACAUUUCUGCAGAGAUCUCUUUUUUCUGCUAAAUAUACUGGCCAUCUGAAUCUCUUGAGAAGAAAAGAUCCAGUACAUCUGGAUAAACAAACAUUACUAUACCCAUGCAAAACUACUGAAUAAAAUCUUAUUUAACUCAAGAGGCUAAUUAAAUUAAAACAGAAACAUUAUAUAAGUAAUGAAACAUGUUUCACAAGUUACAAUUGAAGAACCAGAAAUGUUAUAGCUAACCUUUAGCAGCAAGAGUUUUAAGAGUUUACAGAAAUAAGCUUUCCAGAAGCAAAUUGAUGUUUACAAAGCAUUUUUCUUGUUCUUCAUCAAAGAAACAGCCUGAAUCUUUGAGUCAAUACAAUGGAUCUGUCAGAUAAGUAAUCGAAUCGGCACUGUUAAUACCGCUUACCGUUUCAUAAUUCUUAGCUGUAGGAACCACACCAACAUAGCUGAACUGAACACAUCAACACUUCACCAUUUGGUGAAAAGAACGAAGACGCAAUGUUUACGAAUGAAUCAAUAAAAGCGGAUUAUAAAUGAGAAAACAGCAACAUGUCGUUCCAAUUGCGACAUCUAUACACCCAUGAGAAACGCUCACCCUUUUCUUUUUUUUUCAUUUUUUCGUUUUUCGCUUUUGCCUUCCCACGCACGCCCUGAUACUAAACACACUUUGCGGUCUAAACAACAACAUGAAGAAGAAAACAAAGAAAACAAACAAAAUGAAUAAUCAACCUAUCGAAACUAAACCAUCUCUUAUGCAACUCCCAACUACAAAAACCAUGUAAUUCACAUGUUCUUAUUUCUCCUCACUUGCAAUCCAAGCCACAAACCUCUAGCACGGGCCCGUCGAACUUACCCACGAAGGGGUUCACUCGAACCCACAAAAGCGAACAAAUCGAUGCGAGAAGUGUAGACCACACCACAACGAUUGUGGGGACCCUAUCUUGCUUACCCAUCAUCCCUUUGAGGAAAGGGUAAAGAUGUAAAAUGACCCAGAAGGCGAAGAAUAGCUUACCGAAAAGCGGGCCCCAGGAUUGAUAACCUGUAGUAAUCGCAUUCGAAAUUCCCGAAACAACUCCAAUAAUGUUGAGUAUGAGAAGAGUCAUAGGAGGGAUUAGCAAGGAAGUCCAUUUGAAGAUGUAGAGUUCAGAGAAGUCGCCGUCGUCCCCUCCUUUGGAAGUGACGGUGAAGUUGGUUUCGAUGCCGGCGAGGACUUUGAGCAGGCCCUGGAAGAGGGCGAAGAGGUGGGAGGAGACACCACCGAUUACCCAGAAUUGUUCGUUUCUCCACCAGUCAUCGAUGCCCACCUUGCCCCAUCGCAUCUCAAGGAUGCUGGUCGCGGCAAUCGAUACAAAGAGGGCCAUGAAUACUAUGCUCGCAUAGAUGCUCAUCUGAAAUGAAAAAGGAAAGACAGGAAGGUCAUGCGAGAGUAGACAUUAAUAUUACAAAUAUUUUGAUUAGAAACUUCGACUUUUGUCCCAUUCUUACAGUUUUACAACACCGAAGUUUCAUCAAAAGAUGAUAAAAGAGAAACUUUUCACACCCAAAAAAACAAAACAAAACAAAACAAAACAAAAAACUGAGUUUGAAAUUUUCGAAAAAUCUGCGACCAACAGAUAAAUUCCCUGAAAAAGUUGAUUUUAGUAGCGUGAAAUUGGUUUUUUUUCCCGCAAAAUGGUGAAGUUUAUGCAUGGUUUGGAUUGAGCACCUCGGGCACGAUGAAUUUCCCAGUCAGAAGGCAGAUUGCUGGCAAGCUACAGUACGCAAUCAACGGAAUCGAAGUCCACGGAUAGACGACAGAGUUAAUAUAAGAAAAUCGCUCCAACCACUUCAAACCACCUCUAUAGCCAUACCAUAUUGGGCAAUGCUUGCUUAAGAAAAUCUCCACGGAUCCGAGGGCCCAUCGCAGAACUUGAUGAAGACGAUCAGAAAGGUUAAUAGGAGCAGAACCCUUAAAAGCCGGUCUUUUCGGUAUACAAUAAACUGACCGCCAACCAUGGCAAUGCAUUUUGAAACCGGUUAGAAUGUCCUCAGUGACUGAUCCAUAUAUCCACCCAACCUGGAUAUAAACAGAAAAAUUAGAGCUAAAGAAGCUUGAAUAAUCAAUCAUCAUCUACAUGAUCCCCCCAAAAUCUGAAUUUUCAUUUUUUCCCCCCUUCAAAGACUUAAUUCUAUCGAAUAUGUACAACGUAUUUAGAAAAGAUGAGAGUCUCUGAAGAACUCCUUGAAAACAGACCAACUUUUCUUGUAUUUGAAUGACAACCCAACGCAAUAUUAGAGCAUUUUUCUAAGAAGCUGCACUGCAGGGGGAAGUAUGGAAAUUCAGAACUUACGAGGAUUUAUACGAUAAUAGAUGAUUUGGUGAGAAUAUAUAUGUAAAUAAUUUUGACAAAACAAACCUCUUUUCCCCAUUCAGUCUUAUCUUCAUAGCCGCAACUUAUUACAUGCACAGCCUCACUAAGACAUUCGGUGAGAUUGGUUUUAACUAUUCCACCAUUCUCUCUUAGAGUGGAAGCCACAAAGACGGGUGAUUGCCCAAAUUUCUUCUCAAGCUUUUCGCGAGGAACUAAGGGUGAACUAUCGCCUUCUUUUCCUGCAAAAUAUGGUGUUUACUUUAGCAAUCUUGUUUACGACAACAAGCCAAGAAAAUAUUAAAAGUUACAGACCUUAUCAGAACUAUAAUGCAUUUUGAAAUGGGUAUUUAAACUUCAAAAAAAUUUGAUUUUGCUAAACUUUUCGGUGCUUCUAAUUCACCAAAUUCUGAUAAGUUUUGUCAGAAAAUAGUUUUCCAUCAGAAGACUCGCAGAAUAUUCUGCCGGCUGAAAAGUAUUUUAUCAAAGUUGUUGCAGUAAGGCUAAGUAAUAAAACCAAAACUUCUGAAGUUCAGUUACCUAUUUCAAAAUGCACUACAGUUCAGGUAAGGUUAUAUAUUUUAAACCCCCCCAAAAAAAGAAAAGAAAAAAGAUGUUUGUGUAUGGCUCACCGUUAACUUCCUCUUGAAUAGUUUCAAGCGCGUGUAUUUGAGUAGAAGCCUCCCGAUGCUUCGAUUUCUUCUUAUUCUUCGCCUGAUUCCGAUUAGCUUUUUUAUUUUUCCUUCUCGAUCCACCACAUAAGCAGCACCAUCUUGGCCAACAGUUGCAAGUUUUACCAGGAGGUUUCUCAUUAACCGGAGCAUCAAAUCCAUAUAAAGCUUGUCUUCUGAAAACACAUCCCGUCCCGACAUAGAUCGGUCCUUGUAUCCCAUCAAGACCUUUCAUGUUAAUCUGUUUCAUAAAGAGGAAGAUUAUAGUUGACUUAUAUCAAAAGCAUCCACAUUUAAUAAAGAGAUACAUUUAUAUCCCCGCAAAAUUUAUCUAUUUUCAUAUGUAUUACUGCAAAAUCUGAAUUUUCCUAUGCCCUAAAAACCUUUUUUUUCUAAUAUAUCUACAUGGUACUUACAAAAAAUCCCCUCAAUUUUUUUUUUUUUAAAGUUUCUAAUACAAAAUCAUCUUCUUCCCAUGAAUUGGAUGACCCCCAACCUAAAGAUAAGGGGUUUUUUGUGUAAGAAAAUACGUAAUUGAGGGUAUGUUAAAAGAUUCAGAUUUUUAUAGGCGGUCUAGAUGUAUGCAGAUUAUUUUGCUAAGGGAUAUAUAUUGCAAAAGCCCCUAGUAGCAAAUCAACGUAAGAACAGAAAUUCUCUUAAAUAAAGUGAAGAAGCACUUGGUCAUACAUCAAAAAACACGACGUUGCGAUUUGAAUAUCUGUCGUGCCGGUCAAUACCGUCGAAUCUUUGAGGAAAUUGCACAUAACAGAUUUUCUUUCCCGACACUGGAUCCAUCAAAAAGCACAUAGCUUCUCGGAGAGCUUUGCUGUUGUUUAUGUAGUGGUCACAGUCGACGUUCAAAACGAAAGGAGCAUUAGAUAUAACAGCUGAAACCCGCACCUGAAAUCAACUUGAACUAGUCAGAAAAAGCAAAUGUUUGAAUAAACUAACUGAAAUAUCCCCACAAUAAUCAUAAAAAAUCGAGAGAUAUUAGAUUAAGUUUGAGGUGAAAAAAUAAAAUAUUACCAAAGCAUUCAUGGCACCAGCUUUUUUAUGGUGAUUAUACCCUGGUCUUUUCUCCCGUGAGACAUAAACCAAGCGCGGGAGCUCACAUCCGGCCUCAUCAACUAUAUCAUUGUGUCCCAAAAGGACCUGACGAAAGCAAACAACAAUGCUAACUAUGUCAAGCUGAUAUUCAGCCUGUUAACUAAUAUAGAUUCAAGUUCAACGGUAAAGCAAAUUUCAGAAGCACAAAUAAGAUAGUACCAACCUGAAUCAUCCCCGGAUGGUCCCUUACAUUAUUUCCGGGCCAAGGAGUUCCAUCCUGCAACGACCACCCUUCUUCAGGAACCUUUUGGGCCAUGGCAACUAAUCCAUUAAUUCGCACUUUGAAUUCUUCAUACUCUCGCUGCAUGUGAGAACAAAAACAAGAACUUGAGAUCUAUCCCAGUAAAGAUUGGAAAUUGCAGAUAUCUCCGUGCAAGGUUUAAAUUUGCCACUCAUCAAAUCCCUUCAAGAAAAAGGGUUUAAGAUUUUGUGGUAGAAUGGUCACAGGAAAAAACUCGAAGGGUCAACUAACAGAAAGGGAUUGGUUUGCAAACUUUUGACAAUUCAAAGGGGCGAAGCAAAUUGGAGAGUCUAGAACUCUGCAGAGAGAUGUAAGCAAUUUUCCUUAAAAAAACUGUGGUUUAAGUGAUGAAACCUUCAUUGCACGCCGCUCCCGCACAAAAUCCGGAUGGACUUUAUCCUUCAGAUAAUCAAUCUUCUGGGCGAAGUACCAUUCAGGAGCACGAGGUUCAAUAUUGAACUUUUUACAGAAUGGCACCCAUUUUCUUGCGAACUCAGAGGUUUCAGAAAGUGCUUCAAAGGUUAGCAUAGAAGCACCAUCAUCCGACACAUAGCAGGAAACCUUCUCAACAGGGUAAUCCACAGCGAGAAUGGAUAGAACUGUAUUUGCAGUGAUUAGCGGAGGUUCUUUCAUAGGAUCUACAGUACUAACAAAUAUAUCAAUAUCAGCUAGUUCCGAUGGCUUUCCUUCCUUCUCAUACCUGAGACCAAAUUAGUACAAAAAGGAGACAGAAAUUAGCCAAUACACAGACAAAAUAGAUGCUCCACAAUAGCCUAAAAAUUAAAAUGGGUCCCUCAAAAGUGCUGUUUCCUACAAAAUGCCUUAUUUGUUAGCGAGUAACCAAUGCACGAGAGGGAGCAUGGUUUCUUAUUAGAAAAAGUUUCUUAAAAGGGGCAUUUGUUGCAAGUAUAAGGGCAUAUAAGAAAGAAACUAAGUUUCCCGAUUUGCAUAUAUAUGCAAAUAGAUAAUUGUGCAGCAGUAUAUAUGUAGAUGCCGCAAAAGAAAAGUACCUUAGUGACAAACGGUCCAAAUAUGUCUCUCGCUCUAUAGGGCACCAUUUAGGGAAUUGGUCGAGAAUCCACGAAACAGCGAACCAAAUUUCACAUAUAACUGAGGUCAGCCACAGGCCAUACGCAUCUGGGACUGGAUUCAAAAGUCUAUAGUGGAAAAAGAAGCCGAGUAUCACAAGCCUCAGCAAUAUAACUAUCCUGUAUGGAUUUAUCUUGCUAGAGGCAAGUGGUAGCUUCCUUGACAAUUGGUGCCUGCUCUCAUCAGACCUGCAAACAAAAGUUGGCGCAAGUUCGAAAAAAAAGAAAAAUGCCGAAUUAGCAGUUGCUUAAAAAGAAUACAAGCCUACAAUCAACUGUAUUGUACAAAUUUUCAAGCUAAACUUUUUUGCAUACCAAAUAUGUUGAGAAGAGAACCAUUCAAUAUAGAAAAAGAGCCAUGAGUCAAUUGCAAAGUUUUGGAGUUUUUUUUUAAUACUUCAGUUGCACAGAAAUGUUCACUGGUUUAAUGUAUUAGAAGACUACAAUUCGGAUAAAAAACUAACAGGCAAGACCUUGGAAUAUGAAAAUUCAUAUAUACCCAUAUUCAAUUUACAAGAUUAGUGUGGAUACAUCAAUUACUUAAACAAAACCAUGCCCUACAAUGUCAUGCUCUAGAGAAAAAAAACAUCACACUUUGUUUUAUUAGCAGGAUAAGUGUAACCUCAUUUUGUUUUUUUGGGCUGCUCACUAUGCUUCUAAAUCAUAUGAUAUAUUCCAAAAAAAAAAGAAAAAUACAUCAUUUAUAUCAUUGAUGUUAUUUCCUAUUUGUGAUAUUAAUGUGUAACACCUUGCUAUAUGGAUGACAACAAAUCAUUUAUUCAGAAAGAAAUGGAAAACACCACCACAACAUGGUGACCAUAUAAAAAAUUACUAACAUGUAGGGAAACAAAGAAUACAAGUAAACAUACUAUAUUGUAGCAAUGGAUGACAGAAAAGUUAAUAAUUAGUGCAAAAAGGGACUAAAAAUACUCAAGAGAGAUUCUACUAUGGCUACAAACUUACAUAGGCAAAUCAGGAUUUUCCAAUUCAUAUCUUUCAUAGCCUCCACCGUCUCCAAAGCCGGAUUGAGCCUUGUGGAUCUUCUCCACCUGCUUUCUUUUCCAUUCGUCCAUUCGAUCCUUCCAUGCAACAGAUCCAUAGCCAUAAACUGAUAUGUCCUUGUUAGGGUUUAUUGGUCUCGAUUGUGCUGCAAUUUUUUUUUAACCAAAUUAAAAGUUACUGAAAUCUUUUAGUAACUGAUAACUAUAAGGAACCAAAGUGAAUAGACUUACAAUAACUAGAAGACACUAGUUGUCCUCCAUAACUCAUAUGCGGAGAAACAAUGAGAGCAUGGUUAUCCAAAGAAAUGCCGCCAAACUGCAAAAAUGAAAUAUGUGUUACUUAUAGAGCAUAAAUCAAAACAAAAUCGUGAAUCAUAAGUCCACAUUUUUAACCACCCACAUGCAUACAACCACUAUAAAUCUUUGUUUGUUUUUGGUUAUUUAUAGUUAGUGUAACUUACCUCGUCACCAUAAGUCAAUAGUGGGAUGUUUUCACCAGUAAAAGGCACGCUACGAGCCACAAAGCCCGACCCACUACUAGAACUCUCUCCAACACUAAAUUGUCUGUGAAGCUUCAAAUCAGAUAAUCCGAUUUUGUUAUUCCAAUCAAUACCAUCAAAACUAAAUUCUUUAUAAAUAUCCUCAUCGCCAUCUUCUUCCUCGUCACCCUCUACUCUUGGACUACCUGCAGCAUACCAAAUCUUCAGCACAUUUCACCACAGUAGUCGAAGUUCACCAUUCAGGAUAAGUUCGAUAGUACUAAAAGUUCAAAAUUCAGUUAAAUCUGGAAGAAUUUUGUACACAAAACAACGAUAUAUACCAUUGGAAUUAUAUAAAAGUAAACAUCUUAUCGCCUAAUUUAGCCAUUUUUUUCUGGUUUGCUGUCAACAUCACACAGAGGAGAAUAAUGUACAAAACUUUUGGACCGACCCAAAGAUCAUGAAGUAUUCAUUUAAAAAAACUAGCUUUUGGGCAUCCUACUCUUCCUUGAAAGAUCAAAAUGGAAGAGAAAAAAAAGAAGAAUAAGAAGAAAAGAUUAUGAAAGAUGAACCUUUUUGACGCUUGUAUCGCGUCUUGCAUUGAGGGCAAGCUUGAGUGCCCUCCCUCCUCUCAUAUUCAUAGCAAGUCCUGCAUACAGGGAAUGCACACUCAUUGCAAGCAACAAAGGGCUCAUUCUCCUCCCGAAGAAUCUCGAUCUCGUCCCCGCAUAUUUUGCAGAUCCGGCCGCUUCGAUCUUGAGAGGAUUUGUUCUGUAAGAAUCCAAGGAUGGCAAUAAUCAACUUAAAUUAUACUAUUUACAUGGCAAUAACACAGCACAUGAAGCAAACCAUUCUCAAUGAUAAUACAAAAUACAAAGGAACUGACACUUAGGAAUGUGUAAAAAUGGGCACAAAAAACCCCAAAAAAAAAAAUCAACAAAAUGAAAUGAAAUUAGAUACAUGGCAAUAACACAGGAAAAAACACAAUCCAUUCUCAAUGAGAAAACAAAAUAGAAGGAAUUGGCAAUAAGGAAAAGUAGAAAUUGGUACCAAGAAAAAUAAAAUGGGCGCAAAAAAAGAAAAUGGGUAGAAGAAACAAUUACCACUGAUAAAUUAAAAUGAACAAAACAAAUCAAUUCUCAAUGAGAACACUAAAAGAAGGAAUUGGCACUUGGAAAUGAGGAAAAAUGGGUUUAAAAAAAAAAAAUGACGAUAAUCAACUAAAAUGAAAUUAAGUACAUGGCAACAACACACGGAAAAAAAAAAAUUCCAUCCUCUAUAAAAAGAAAAAGGCUAAAAAAAAAAAAGCACUUAUAAAUAAGGAAAAUGGUAACAAAAACCCCAAAUAAAAAUCAAUAAACAAAGCGAGAAGUGUUUAACGAUGGAGAAAAGGGAUUAAACAAUGAGAUGUAAAAAAGGGCAAAUCUUGAUCCAAACACAGAAAAAUAACUUAAAAAAGGGCUCUAUUUCACGCCAAAGAUGCAUCUUAAAACAAAAUUAACAAAUCAAAUCAUCAAAAUACACAAGAAAAACCAGGAUCAAGACCAAAUUUCCAAACAAAUCAUCAAAAAAUCCUCAAAAAAAGGCCUAAAUUCACGAAGGACCAAAACCCAGAACCCAAAAACACGAUUUUUACACCACCCACCCUCCCGGAAUCAUCGGCAUUGAUGACCACGAACUCGUUCCAUCCCCUCCCCUCCCCUCCCCACCAACCCCCCUCGAUCAAAACCCUAACUUGAUGACGAAGACGACGACGAAGACGAAGAACACCUCCGUCUCCUCCUCCUCUUCCUCUUCACCCCCAAAAUGCGCACCAAACCUCCACCCAAAAACACCGAAACGGAAACCGAAACCGAUUCCAGUUGAUCAAAACCCUAACUUGCCGAAGACGAAGAGCCCCCUUCCUCCUCCUCCUCCUCCGCCUCUUCAACCCCGAAAUGCGCACCAAAUCGCCACCUAAAAACACCGAACAAAAGAGCAAAUGGAGGCCGAAACCGACUCCCCUCCCCUUUUUCCCCUCUACCCCUCCCUUUGCUUCGCCUCUCUCCCACUUCAACGAAGGGCGUUUCUUAAGGUAGAGGUACACGACGACACGGGGAGGACGAGAGCGAGAGCGAGAGAGAGAGAGAGAGAGAGAGAGAGAGAGAGAGGAGAAGCGGAGGGGGAGAGAGUGCGAAGUGGGAAAUAGUAAUAAUCGCAAUAAAGCGAGACGCGGUAAAGAGCAAAAGGACGAAACUACGCAGAGAGAGAGAGAGAGAGCGAGAGAGUGUUUGUGUGGGGUUUUAGAGAGAGAAAAUACAAAAGAAAAAAAUAAUAAUAUUUUAAAUUUUUAAUUAACUUUUUAUUAACUAUUUUUUAUUUAAUUAAUUACUUUUUUAGUGUACACGUCAUCGGAGAUCCGAAGAAACGAGAAUAUGACGUGUGCGUAGGCCAAGGGAAAAAGUAAAAUGUAUAACAAUUAUAUCAUAUUAUCAAUAAUAAAUUAAUUAUUUUUAAAAUAUAUAUAUAUAAUAAAUUUAAAAAAAUUAUUUGAUUGGUCGAAAAAAUCAGUGCCUUCUAAAAUUUUUAUUGUUAUUUUUUAAUAAAAUUGUAUAAUAAAAUAUAUUAUAAUCGAUUUAGCUAUAUAAUAUAGAAUAUAAAAUAUAAAAAUGAAUAAAAUAUUUUUAAUUGUGUUUUAUUACCGGACGUAAUAUUAUCUCUCUGUAUUUUUUCACUAUUUUUAAAAUUUAAAUGGAUAGAAAAAAUAAUUUUUCAACUAAAAAUUAUUUUCCAAGGUUUGAUACUCGUAGUUUUGACCUAUAAGAAGCGAAACACUUUAGUCUAUAAAUAUUAAUUUAUUAUAAAAUUUUAUUUUAAUUUUUUAACUAAUUAUAAUUAAUGAUGCUGUAAUUAUAAAAAAAGUUUAAAAAUUAUAAUAUUAUAUAUCUUAUAGUUUGAGGAUCAGAUGAGUAAUUUAGUAAUAAGAGUUUUAUUUGUAUUAAAUAUUGAAUAAAUUUUUUCAUGCGGUGUGAAAUAUUAAAGAACUGUACUAAGAUAAUAUAAUAAUUUUAUAUUAAAAUAAUAAGCUAGUAUAAAAUAUUUUAAAUUAGAUGUUAUUAUUUUUUAUAAAUAAUUGCUCUAACUAUGACUUUAGAGAUUAAAAAGUAAAAAAAUAAAAAUGUAAAAUCUGCUUCUUUGAGUAUUUUUUGGAAUUUUUUUUUUCUUUUUGCUCUAUUUGUGUGUGUUGAAGGAAAAAUUCUCGAAUACAACAGAUAUAUUAGUGACGUGGCGUAACAAAUCAAUUAAAUGUCUCAUUUUAGAGAUAUAUGUUCCAUCAUGGUUAUUGUAUUUUUAUUUGAAAAUAAGAAAUAUAAUUGACUUGUUAUUGAUGACGUGGUGAAAGUGUGACAAUGUAGAAUUCCUCGUGUUGAAGGGUAUCGUACUAAUUAGGAAGUAGGGUUUGGUAAGAGAAAUUAUUGAGGUGGACCUAUUUUGCAAUAAUGAUAUUUCUAGUGCUUUUCAUUUUUUUGAGGUUAUAAUUAUAAUGAGAUUAAAAAUAGAAUAGAUUAUACACUUGUAUUAAAAUGGUUAGGCAAAUUUGUGUGAAAAUAGGAUAUAAGAAGCUAGUAUAAAUUAUUAAAUAAUACACUUUAAAAUUUAAAAAAAAUACUAUUUAUACAUUCAAAACAUAAGGUGUAAAUUUUAUAUCUUUCCAUCUAAGAAUUAAUUGUGAAAAAAAUAGCCUUUUGUACGAAGGAUAUGUAAUUUACGCUCACUUUUUGGAUAUACAUAUAACAGUGCUAAGAUAUACUAGCAAAGUUUAUAUUUCGAGUGAAUGCGUGUUGCGACUUGAUUGGCACCGUAUAUUAAACGAGAUUUACAUAAUAAUUUCUUGUUAAUUAGGAUUACAUGUAAUAGAGAGGGGAAAAAAAAUUGAAGGAGAAUAAUUAAUAUAAAAAGAAAAUAUGAAUAGUGUGAAAAGUAAAUGUUGAAUGAAAGUUUAUUUAUAUCUAGAAGUUUAUGAAAAUAGGUACAUUUUGGUCCGCAUAUGUUAAGAUGAUACGACAAUAAUUAAGAUGCUACAUCACUUUUAUAUUAUUAAUUUAUCAAUAUUUAAUUAAAAAAUUAGAUUCCGAGACUUAAUAGUAAUAAUUUAAAAAGUUUGAGCCAACAAUUACAACGAAUUAAAGUUUGGGAGAGAAAAUGUAAGGUGUCUCAUAAUUUGAGGACCAAAACUGUAAUUAACCCUAAAAUCUAUAUAGUGCCAAAACCAGUAUUAACACUAAUGACAUCUUGGUGAUUAAUGUAUUAUUAGUAAUACUAAUAUUGACUGAUCAGAGAAUUGAGAGAUGUGGGGAACAUAAAAUUUAGUGACUACAUUGAAUCGUAGUAAAUGUCAACGCGUUACUUUUGUCGUAUCAUAACUGAAUCCUUUAUGGAGAGUACGUGCCACUCCAAAAGGGUCAUACAUGUCGAAUUGGUGACGCUAACCAUUAAUCUCAAAAGCUCGAACUAUUAAAAAUACGCAACUAAUUCUUUUAAAGCGUACAGAUACAACACUCAAGUUUCACGCCACUUCGAAUAUAACUCGACCUAUCCAGCCUCACGCUAUUUCAAACAUAACUCGGUCCAACAUAACUUUCCGCCACAUGGCAGGAUACUAGCCCAAUUAAGCCAACACUACAUGCCACGCGUAGCUUGUAUAACUGUACUUGUACACGUUGGUCUCACUAA
rnacentral:lncRNA from 1 species